GAUGAACGCUAGCUACAGGCUUAACACAUGCAAGUCGAGGGGCAGCGUGGAGCAGCAAUGCUCUGACGGCGACCGGCGGAAGGGUGCGUAACACGUGAGCGACUUGCCCGUCACAGGGGGAUAACCGGCGGAAACGGCGACUAAUACCCCAUACGAUGCGAUGCUGCAUGGCAUUGCAUUGAAAGAUUCAUCGGUGGCGGAUAGGCUCGCGGGACAUUAGCUAGACGGCGGGGCAACGGCCCACCGUGGCGACGAUGUCUAGGGGUUCUGAGAGGAAGGCCCCCCACACUGGGACUGAGACACGGCCCAGACUCCUACGGGAGGCAGCAGUGAGGAAUAUUGGUCAAUGGGCGGAAGCCUGAACCAGCCAUGCCGCGUGAAGGACUAAGGCCCUACGGGUCGUAAACUUCUUUAGACGCAGAGCAAUAAGGUCCACGUGUGGACCGAUGAGAGUAUGCGUAGAAUAAGCAUCGGCU
rnacentral:rRNA from 1 species